rnacentral:rRNA from 1 species
UACGAAGGGGGCUAGCGUUGUUCGGAAUUACUGGGCGUAAAGCGCACGUAGGCGGAUUUGCCAGUCAGGGGUGAAAUCCCGGGGCUCAACCUCGGAACUGCCUUUGAUACUGAAGAUCUUGAGUUCGGGAGAGGUGAGUGGAACUGCGAGUGUAGAGGUGAAAUUCGUAGAUAUUCGCAAGAACACCAGUGGCGAAGGCGGCUCACUGGCUCGACACUGACGCUGAGGUGCGAAAGCGUGGGGAGCAAACAGG